rnacentral:rRNA from 1 species
GAUGAACGCUGGCGGCGUGCCUAACACAUGCAAGUCGAACGGAAUUUACAUGAAGCCUAGCGAUUGUAAAUUUAGUGGCGGACGGGUGAGUAACGCGUGGGUAACCUGCCUUGUACUGGGGGACAACAGUUGGAAACGACUGCUAAUACCGCAUAAGCGCACAGCUUCGCAUGAAGCAGUGUGAAAAACUCCGGUGGCGUGAGAUGGACCCGCGUCUGAUUAGCUAGUUGGCAGGGCAACGGCCUACCAAGGCGACGAUCAGUAGCCGACCUGAGAGGGUGACCGGCCACAUUGGGACUGAGACACGGCCCAAACUCCUACGGGAGGCAGCAGUGGGGAAUAUUGCACAAUGGGGGAAACCCUGAUGCAGCGACGCCGCGUGAGCGAAGAAGUAUUUCGGUAUGUAAAGCUCUAUCAGCAGGGAAGAAGAAAUGACGGUACCUGACUAAGAAGCACCGGCUAAAUACGUG